rnacentral:rRNA from 1 species
UACGUAGGUGGCGAGCGUUGUCCGGAUUUACUGGGCGUAAAGAGCGCGCAGGCGGUCGUACAAGUCGCGUGUGAAAGCCCCCGGCUCAACUGGGGAGGGUCACGCGAUACUGUUCGACUCGAAGGCAGGAGAGGGAAGUGGAAUUCCUGGUGUAGCGGUGGAAUGCGCAGAUAUCAGGAGGAACACCGAUGGCGAAGGCAGGUCUCUGGGCCACUACUGACGCUGAGAAGCGAAAGCGUGGGGAGCGAACAGG